GUCCACGCCCUAACGAUGGAUACUAGACGUAAGAGGUAUCGACCCCUCUUGUGUCGCAGCUAACGCAUUAAGUAUCCCGCCUGGGGACUACGGCCGCAAGGUUGAAACUCAAAUGAAUUGACGGGGACCCGCACAAGCGGUGGAGCAUGUGGUUUAAUUCGAUACUAACCGAAGAACCUUACCCAGGUUUGACAUCGAUCGCAAGAUCCCGAAAAGGAUCCCUCCCCCACAAGGGGACGUGAAGACAGAUGUUGCAUGGCUGUCGU
rnacentral:rRNA from 1 species